rnacentral:rRNA from 1 species
GGAAGAAAAGGGGAAGUCAAGUCAUUAUGGUCUAUAUUUAUUGGGCUACACAUGCGCUACAAAAUUAAAAACAAUGGGGUACAAAAAUGCAAAUUUAAGUAAAUCUCUAAAAAUUAAUAAAGUACGAAUUGUAAAUUGAAACUCAUUUACAUGAAGUCGGAAUCGUUAGUAAUCGUAAAUUAGUAUGUUACGGUGAAUGAUUUAUCAAACUUUGCACACACCGCCCAUCAUACUCGAAGAAUUGUGUUUUUCGAAAAUU